rnacentral:rRNA from 1 species
GACGAACGCUGGCGGCGUGCUUAACACAUGCAAGUCGAACGGGAUCCGGGCUUUCGGGUUUGGUGAGAGUGGCGAACGGGUGAGUAACACGUGAGUAACCUGCCCCCUUCUUUGGGAUAACGUCGGGAAAUCGGCGCUAAUACUGGAUAUUCUUGCUGCAUCGCAUGGUGUGGUUUGGAAAGGGUUUCUGUUGGGGGAUGGGCUCGCGGCCUAUCAGCUUGUUGGUGGGGUGAUGGCCUACCAAGGCUUUGACGGGUAGCCGGCCUGAGAGGGUGUCCGGCCACACUGGGACUGAGACACGGCCCAGACUCCUACGGGAGGCAGCAGUGGGGAAUAUUGCACAAUGGGCGCAAGCCUGAUGCAGCGACGCCGCGUGAGGGAUGACGGCCUUCGGGUUGUAAACCUCUUUCAGUAUGGAACAAGGAUCCUUCUUUUGGGGGGUUUGAGGGUACGUGCAGAAGAAGCGCCGGCUAACUACGUG